GUUCCAAGAUGGCGACGUUCUACACCCGGUGUUUACAGGAGCUGCCGACAAUAAAUAUCACAGAUGUGCAUCGUUUAUGUCGGGAAACAAAAACUCCGACAAGCAGAUUGGAGAAGGGGUUUAGGCUGUAUGCUUCGACCUACAUUCACAGCUACGAAGUGUCCAAUAAAGACAAGCUGACAGUGCAGAUCAAGCUUUGUGAUUCAGCAGCCAAGGGAUGAAAAAAGAAAGAGUUAAUCUAUGGGCUGGAGCAGCUGUCUCUGAGAGGAAAAGAAAAAAAGUAUAGCUCAAAAACAACAAAUACAAAUGCAAUGGCAUCACGUAUAAUUACAUCUGUAACUACUUAUAAAGUACUGUUGAUGCACGUGCAGGUGCGACCACUUCUUUUUUCUGGACAGCUGAUUUGGCUCUGGAAACACGGACCAUCUUGUAGAGAAGGCUCAAUCAAAGACCAAAAAGCUAUCAGAUGGUUGUAGCUGGCAAAUCUAUUCACAAAAGACAUUGCAUAAAAAUUUUCAAUUAGAAGUGUACAUCAAAAGUAUACAUUGUUACCAAAAUAAUGUCAACAGUAACUACUAAGAUUAAGAUUUUAUCGUGUAUAUAUAUAUAUAUAUAUAUAUAUUAUGUAGCACGGUGACCUGUAUUUCUUCCAUAUAUCUGUUUCAGCUCCUAUUUUCAUCUCAUAGAAUAAUAACAUGACUUUUUUCAACCAUUUAAAAAUAAACUUUUGUAGACUUGAACUGGAAA
ensembl:lncRNA